AGUAGCACCCCCAUUCUACCUCCAAGUGUGACAACCAGAAAUUUUUCCAUCCAAUGCCAAAUGUUUUCUGGGGCACAAAAAUCACCACCGGUUGAGAACCACUGGUUAUAUGAUUAGACAGAAAGAAAAAGAGAAAAAGAAAGAUGCCUGGCUAGGCCAAUUAGAGAUCUUAGAUAAUUACUAUAUGCAUGCAACAUUAGAUAGUUUUAUUUUCAUUAAACUUUUAAAUCUUUUAAAAUCUCUUACAGACCCUACUUUGAAGCUAGCUUGAUAUAAUGCUAAUGUGACCUUGAACGAUUUCUUUCUUCCUGAGUUUGCCUACUAGUAUAGCUUAAAGAUCCAAGUUACACUAUUACUCACUUAUAUCAUAGCCAGCAUUGCUUGAUCAGAUUAUCAGAUAGAUACAGUAUCACGGAGACAAAAUCCUUUCAUUAUGAUGUAAGAUAAAAAAUAUCUUUCAUUAACAACACACGUAAAGGAAGUACCCAUUGGACCAACUCAGGUUAGAAGGGUACCAGACCAGAAGAUCAGAUCGUAGAAGUUACUGGAGAAAAAGAUCAGCAGACAGCACUCUUGAACUACAUGCCAGGCCUCUUCUUCCUGGAACUCUAAUGGAUUUAAAUGGCUUAAGAGACGGGAUGAAUUGUUGAAAAUGGUUCUUUCAAAAGACCUCACGGAAGGCCAAAGACAAGACUCACUGAGGCCAAGCUGAUCAACAAUAUCUAUAAGUUGACGCAUUCUAAUCAUGUGGCGAUCUUGACCUUGAGAGCUUGAUUUGUGGACCAGUGUCCCCAAGAAGAUGACCAUCAGACAGAUGACAAUCCUCUCCAUGUUGCCAGGACUGGAUCUCAUAAGUACCAAGAGUAGAGCUAGACCUUGGUCUCGUUUUCACUUCAGCUUGACUGAGAACAGGUAUACGUGUGCAUGUGCUAAUGUGUGGGGGCAGGGAUUGAUGGAGUCAACGAAAUGUGCCCCAUCUGCAUCUUUGACAGGAAAAAGAGAGAAUGGGUGAAUUCCAAUUUUCAGCAUGAAUCAAGAAUGUCACCGAUGAAGUUUUUGAAUGCUGUGCUCCUAAUCUCAUUUUCCUCCUCCAGAGACUUCGGUGAAGGGUGAUGCAAACCGUGUUUCUUCAGCAUGUGAGCACUGUCAGGCAUGAGUGUGGCAGCUCCAGAAUGUCUAUACCGGAGUGGCUGAGAGUCAGCAACUUGGCUGGAAGCUACACUUGAAUAGCAAACAAACCACUUUUACUUAGUUUCCAUGUCUAUUUGGUACCUUGGAGUACAGUGAUGAGUUUUACUAGAUGUGGACUUUCCAGGAAUAUAGCCAAGGUCGUCACCAUGAAAGUAUGAAACUUUAGUCAUUUACCCAAGGGGAUUCAUGGACAUAUAUUAAGAAUUUUCUUUAAUGGACUGUGUUUAUAGAACACCUGGUCAGGACAGAAAUGAGGCCAGGGAACUAAAGGGAUUAGAAGUCUGAAGAGGAAUGGUUUUGCAUGGGAAAACUGUGCCAGGUGUAAAACUGGGCUGAACACUAUUUGUCCCCAACUCUCUGGCCCGGUCCUUAUAGUUCUUUCUGUGAUCCCUGCGUGGUGAAUACUCCUUUUCUGCUUUCACUGGCUUUGGCCCCCCAUGGAUAGAAUUAGAUGUUCUGCAUGGCAAACUGUGGGAAGAGAGGCCUCCAGUGUUUAGAGUGAUAUUAUCAUGUGUACCACUACUAUUAUACAUACUAAAGGUAUUCAGACAGGUGGCUUGUUUCUGGGCUUUAUAUAGAUCUCUGUCAAACUAGAAGAAAAAUGUCACUAAAAUAAUUCAAGACAAUUUUUGUACUUUCCAACGAUGUUCAGGUAACAGCUGAAAAUAUUCUCACUUAUUUGACUUGAGGAAGAAAAUUCGAACGAGGAAAAUCAUCAAGGAUUUGCCAAAGUCCCUUCUGUAAAAUCUUCCUUAAGGAAGUUUAAACACUCCUAUUCUCUCUUCUCCCAUUCUUUUGAACUCACUGCAUGUAUUGAUAUCACUGACUUGGUUUCUUUUCUAGAAUAUAUGUAAAAGUAAGAGUGUGUAUAUAUAACCCAUUAUGUACAUAACAAGAACAGUUCCUUCCAAUAUUCAAAUUUCAUGACUCUAGGUCACUACUGUGCAUUCUAAGAAGGUCAGGGACUCAUGGAGACCAAAGGGUCAAUCCUGGUCAUUGUUGUCUUACGAGAGAAAAACAAGAGCCUUCUCGGGCCCUGUGUUCUCUAGCUCUUGAUGUGGCCUCUUUGGUAUCACUGGCAGCCCCACAGUCUGGUGGUCAGUGUGUCGCAGCAGAGGGUCACUCACCGAUGCUGCUUAUCCACAGCACCUUUUCUGUGGGGAAUGGGGGCCUCUAUUCUGCUAGUAGACUCAGGUGUGUCACUGUGAUACUCUAAGACUGGGUUCAUUGAGGACAGGUCUCUUUGCUAACAUUCACACAAAGUCAUUGUUUGGAAGCACAGUCCUGCUUCUGAAAUGCUAGGUCUGGAGGGGUUCCAGCAGCAGCCACAUGGGCCCUCUCCUCAGAUCUUGGCUCCAACAUGGGAUACUCAGCAGUGAGGCUAGAGAUCAGAUGUCCUUCAUUCCUUGACCACUAAGCCUAGAGGAUGGAGAGAAAGAACUGGAAUAUCUGCACUCUUCAACCUGAGUCCACUCCAACUCCAUACCACAAGGUGAGACAAGUUCCACCAGCCUCUCCAGCCUCCUGUCUAAUAUGAUCAGAGAAAUCCUCUUUUCUCUGGACUCAAGACCCAUCCCUGUUUCCUUCCCUAGGGCGACAGGUGGCUAUAGCACCCUUCGUCUUGGCCCUGCAGCCACCAAUACACAACCAUAAAAAUAAAGUAGUCCAAUUAUUAGCCUUCGCUGUGUCCUGUGUCCUCCUCCCAAGAGAUCUGCGGAACCUUCAUUUAUCACCUGAAUGGGAGCCUCCUCCCCAUGCUUCCCCAGGGGGCAGCCAUAGGACCUCACAGAGAGGUUACUGUGUAUCACUCUAGACUCUUUUCCUAUAUACAUAGAACAAUAAAGGAAUAGAUAGGGACACAUAGACACUUAAGGAAAUAGAAUUAUAUAUGGAGAUAGAAACAUAAAAAAUAGCACAGACAUAUAGAUAUAGAAAACUGGUACUUUUACAUAAAAACUUAAUCUCACCAUAUGUAGUCUAUAAAUUUUUUUUUCACUCAACCUAUGUCAGGGACAGGAGUCCAUACAGGAUUCACACACAGGGAUAUCUCAUUAGAUUAAUAUUCCAUUGUACGGCAGUACCACAAUUUAUCCAUUCAUAACCCUACUGACAAACAUUUAGAUUGUUUCCAGUUUUUAUCCACUGCAAACAAUGCUGCAAUGAACAUCCUUAUAUAGAUCUCUAAGCAUAUGUGAAAUAUAUUCUUUUAAUGUUGUAUUUUAAAAUACAUGUCUUGAAUUUCACUUCCUGAGUGGAAAGAUACUUUGAAAAAUUUUAUAGAAACUGCCAAAUUUCCCUCUGACAUGCCAUACCAGUUUAUACUCCCAACAACAUAGAGUUUCUUUUCCUCUCAUUAAUACUUUAUGUUAUGAAUAUUUUAAAUAUCUACCAACGUAUUGGGGCAAAAAUAGUAUCCUCUCAUUGGUUUGUCUUUCCUUGAUCAAUAGUUAGAUCUGGUGUAUUUUCAUCAGUGUGUUUAUUUUUCCACAAAUUGUCUGAUUCAUAUUAUUUGCCAAUUUAUUCAUUUGUUUCUUAUUUACUUAUAAAGGCUCUUUUUCUAUUAAAGAUAUGUUAAACAUG